AUAGUAUUACCGCGAGGCUACGUCGGGUGAUAGAUACCUACGUCGCUUGUAUUGUAUUGUAGCAGAAAAUCGGUUUUCAAAUAAUUAAACUUUUGGGAUAUAGCGUAAAAUAUAGUGUUAAACAGGGAAAAUGUUUGCCCAAACCACGGUCUAUGUGACCGAACUUAUAUAAGUGAAACGCGUUCAGUGACAAGGCAAAACGUGGUGUGUCGGGCCCGCGGUAGGAGUCGUUUGUUAUCAAACAGUGAGACCGCGAGGCGAGGGCGAUGGCGGAGGCAGCGCCCCUGGAUCGCCCUAUCGUGAAGGAAGGCUGGCUGCACAAGCGCGGCGAGCACAUCCGCAACUGGCGGCCGCGCUACUUCAUCCUGUUUGACAAUGGUGACCUGGUGGGCUUCAAGACGCAGCCGGAGCGGAACAACUACCGCGACCCUCUCAACAAGUUCACGGUGCGCGAUUGCCAAAUCAUGGCCGUGGACAAGCCGCGCCCGUACACCUUCACCAUCCGCGGCCUACAAUGGACGUCGGUCAUAGAGCGCAUCUUCUCCGUCGACACAGAAAAAGAACGUGAGGAAUGGGUGGCGGCGAUCAGGUUCGUGUCGACGCAACUGAGCGCGGGCGGCGCGGCGGCGGGCGCGGCGGCGCACGACCACGACGACUGCGACAUCGCGCAGCUCGGCACCAGCUUCCGCGACCCGCGCAGGAUUACACUGGAGAAGUUCGAGUUCCUGAAGGUGCUGGGCAAGGGCACGUUCGGCAAGGUGGUGCUGUCGCGCGAGAAGGGCACGGGCAAGCUGUACGCCAUGAAGAUCCUCAAGAAGCACCUCAUCAUCCAGAAGGACGAGGUCGCGCACACCGUAACAGAGAACCUCGUGCUCAAGAAGACGAAACAUCCCUUCCUCACGGCGCUGCGCUACUCGUUCCAAACGGCGGACCGCAUCUUCUUUGUGAUGGAGUACGCGAACGGCGGCGAGCUGUUCUUUCACCUGUCGCGCGAGCGCAGCUUCAGCGAGGAGCGCACGCGCUUCUACGGCGCCGAGAUCGUGUCGGCGCUCGGCUACCUGCACGCCGAGGGCAUCAUCUACCGCGACCUCAAGCUCGAGAACCUGCUGCUCGACAAGGACGGACACAUCAAGAUCGCCGACUUCGGACUUUGUAAGGUGAACAUAACGUACGGGCGCACGACGAAGACGUUCUGCGGCACGCCGGAGUACCUGGCGCCCGAGGUGCUGGAGGACACGGACUACGGCCCGGCCGUGGACUGGUGGGGCACGGGCGUGGUGCUGUACGAGAUGGCGUGCGGCCGGCUGCCCUUCUACAACCGCGACCACGACGUGCUGUUCGCGCUCAUUCUCUCCGAGGAGGCACGGUUCAGGUGCGGUUCCCGCGCGCGCUGUCGACGGCGUGCCGCGCGCUGCUGGCGGGGCUGCUCACCAAGGAGCCCAGCGCGCGGCUGGGCGCGGGGCCCGACGACGCGCUCGAGAUCAUGCACCACCCCUUCUUCGCCAACAUCGACUGGACCGACCUGCUGCACAAGAAGAUCCCGCCGCCGUUCAAGCCGCAAGUGGACUCGGACACGGACACGCGCUACUUCGACUCGGAGUUCACGGGCGAGAGCGUGGAGCUGACGCCGCCGGAGCACGACGCGGGGCUCGCGCUCAUCCGCGAGGAGCAGUUCGCGCAGUUCUCCUACCAGGACAUCUGCUCGUCGGCGCACUCUGCGCUGUCGCACCUGUCGCACCACUCGGCGCUGGACAAGCGCCACUAGCGCCGCACUCGAUCUCCAGCCGCCAUCUUGUUGUCUCGAGCCGUGUGCGCAACGAGGAACUACCAUCAUUGUCAUGCGAUGUAAUCUAUUCCAUGUGAGAGUUAAAUGUGAAAUUCCAAUGACAGUUGUCUAGUCCUCACGUUCCACUGUCGUAAUCUGGUGAGGAAAACUCUGAAACCUUCGUUGUUGAUCGAUAAUAAUUAGCGGAACACGUUUGUGUUCGUCCGGCGUACACGGCUUUAGGUUUCUUGUUUAUCGGACAUUUAUUUAAGUGUAAAAGUAGGUCAGGUGUAUAUUGAACCCGUUUUGUAUGAUAUAUGAUGAAUUGUGGGAAAGAAAUGCAUUGUACAAUUAUUAUCAAGACAAAAUGUAAAAUCUCACUUGAGCCUGUAAACACAUUUUCGAUUCAAAUGAUUGCUUUGUUCAUCUCUGUAAAAAUAUCAAAGCAAUUAUGAAAGACUUAAAUACAGUUAUAAAUAUUGGUUAUUUGUAAAAUUUCAUCAGUUUUUCAAAACAUAAUCAAAUUUGUUAUCAUGGAACUGAAUCUUGAGCGCGAUGUCUUGACUCUUGUCAAAGCUGUAAAUAUACGGUGUAAAUCGAUGUUUUGAUAAAUGACCACGAUGUAAGGUUCAACGCUAGUCUUUAAAAGAUUUAAGACGUGUUCCGCCAAGUAGACGAUGUGAACGUAUAUUAUACUGUAAGAAGUGUGAAGCGGUAUUAUAGUAGGUAUAUGAUGUACCUACGUCACUUCAAUACCGCGAACGUGCGGUCGCCUCUCAUGUGUCACUUGUGAUAAAUCGAGACUAACAUCUACUUUAUACACGUGUCAAUUGUUGUAUUAUAUUGGGUUCAAAAUUAUUAGACUUAUCACAUAAAGUUCGGUUUUUUAGAUCCAGAAUCAAAGGAGAAGUCGUACAAAGAUAUUUUUUAUAAACUGAUUAUUUAAUUGACUAAUUCUACAGAUACCUCAGUUUAAUAUUUCCGUAAUUUGCAUAACAAUAUAGUAUAUUUUAGUCUCAAUUAUCAGAAGUGAAAUAACUCUGGGUGAUGUGUUGUCUCAGCGUACGAUUGAACGUUCAUAAUUUAUGUUUGGGUCAAACUAGCCAGUUUUGUCCUUUGAGUUCCGAUGUACCCGUGUUUAUCUAAUAGCAUUUACACAUCUUCAAUUUGGCCGGGCAAGUCGUACAGCUGAGGCGGCCCUGUCGCUAUGUCGUGUACAGUUUGUUUUGACGCCUGUCGACGGACUACGCAAUAAUUGCAUGAAAAUUCGACGUACGUCAAUGUCAAGACCUAUGGAAAACAACGGAGCUCCAUUGUUCGGCCGACGCCACGUCGGCGGCAGACGACGGAGCGACCGGGCCCGGCCUUAGCGGGGCUACGCAUUGGACAGAUUUUAUUUAAUAAGAUCAACAAAUUUACUUAUGUUAAGUUUACUUUAUUUUAAGGGAUUUUUAUUUUAUUUUUAGGGUAUAAAUAAUAAACUUAAUUUAUGAUAAUCUACAGCUCUAUAUAUACUUAUACAUAUUAUACCCUACAACGUUGACGAGUGGGUAAACAUUAUGUAAACUACAGAUUACGUCAUUUUAAAGAAGUCUUCGAGGAGUCUGGAUCUAAACUCAAUUUCGAGUUCGAUUUACACUAGAAUAAGACAAUGUCUGUUUUGCUAUUACAAUGUUAUUACAACGAUACAGGUCAACGUCGGUCGUGUCUGGAGUCCAGGGCGAAUGGGGUCGCGCUGUUAGGUGCAGUCAAUUACCUAACUUAAUUAUUUUAUAUAUUGAAAAAUGAAAUUCUAUAUAUCUGAUUAAUGGGCAUUGAUUAUAUGCUUUUAUGGCUGUUAAGCAAUUCAUGAAUUCGCUCACUUUGUUUUUACUUUUUUUUACAUAAAACACUUAUAAGUACUGUAAUUGACUGUACAGAAUCUUCUACUUAUAUAACAUGUUGCAUUUGUACGAAACCUCGCUUGAAGUUUACUUUUAUCAUCAAUUGUUAUAAAUAGCGGGACGGCGUCGGCGGCCAACGAUUACGAAGCUCUGUAUUCCCUUUUUGUAUAUAUUAAAGUUAGGAUUAAACAAUC